GAAGAAUGUUCCACCAGUCAGGUGGGUCUUGGACUUCAGUAGCAUUAUUUCAGCAUACUAUUUUUAAUGAACAACACAUACACACGUAACAAUCUGUGUAACUCGCUUAUGCAUUUCUGUAUAAAAAUUGAAAAGAUAUGACCCUAACUUGUAAGACAAUAAGAGUCUUGGGUAAAAGUGCCAAAUGAUGUAACUUUCAAUUUUCCCCUUUUGAUUACUUAUGGUCUUGAUGCUCAGCAACUUUCCCUGUAUUGUGGUUGCUUACAAAGAGAGGGCUCAGUCACUCUGACCUGAAAAUCACUUUAGCUGCCCAGCUGGGCCAUCUUGGUCUGACUCGUGGGGUGGAAGAGCCUUUUGUACAGCAGCCUCCAUCCUGCCUGCCUGUAGCACAAAUGCUGUGGCCUGACAGGGAAAGCAGGGCAGGUACACGGGGCUUUCUCUUGGUGAGAUGGUGCAGGAAAAUCACUUCACUGCUGUUUGUGCUGUUCCUUGCCAGGCUGGCAAACUGCUUUUCUGUCCAGAGAUCAACCAGGGGGGCUGAUACUUUUUAUUUUGUUACUUGCACCAUGGGAGAACUUGUAUCAUCGAAAGACAAUUUCAUUUUGAGUCCACUGCUUGUGAGCACUGUUGAUC
rnacentral:lncRNA from 1 species